CAAAUACUUGGUUACUCGUAGCUUUCGACAAGUUGCUUAUUUACCCAGCGCACAGCAUCGAUUCCGACAACACUCCUGCAUACUGCGAAGCAUUCCGACACACCUCGUCUGGUAGUAUCGAUGCCGUAAAGGAUCGAAUAGCCUUUCUUUGAACACUAUGGCCAUGGUGUCCCGCGAGGUAUUUGCUGGGAAUCAGACGCGUUGCCGCACGCUUGUUCCGAGGUGCGCCACGCUUAUUCCGCCGGUGCCGGCGAAAGCGUUCAUCCGUCGGCUCGGAGACGGUUAGAGCCGAAUGACCCCAGCCAGUGACGACACACGUAGAAGACAACGGCGUGGAGGAGAACCACGGGAGACAAACGGCCUGGACCUCCUUCCUAAAGAGAAUGGGUUGUCGCAGUCUAAUCAGACCAAAGUCGUUAGCACGCAAAGGCUUGUUGAAUUCCGGAUGCAUGUAUAAUCCAGCUGCUUGAUAAUCAGUCUGACUGGCCUCCAGGUUUUGCAGUAGAUUGUGCUCACCAACACGAACGAUCAUGUUGUUGAGCCGGCCAUGCUCCCUAGUGUAGAAAUAUUUAGAAUUGUAUUUGUCAAGGCGAUUAUGUUUCGGAUAUCAGUGAAAAGAUUUUGGCAUACUUUGUGGAAUACUCGGCUAAACAAUGUGCAGCCGUAAGAAUCCAAAAUGGAUGGAUUAUUGAGCCUGAAGGUCAGACCAGACAGCUUAAAAAAGCACUUCAAAAUGGAUACAAAUCAGCAAGGCGAAUGAAAGGAGUGCAGUUUUAAAACUGCACUCAUGAAAGCAGUACUGUACCUCCGCAAAACUGAGUUUCUUGACUAUUGUCAAUGAGUGCAAUCUGCCAUGGCCAUGAAUGGGGUCUGACCGUCUGCCCAAAAAUGAUCUUGCUGACCAGCUCGCUGGGAGGAAUCGAAGGGACACCACAUUCUGUCAACAGUUCUACGUACUUACGUUGAGCACAAAAUUUCUCGUCGGAACCGUUAAUACAGUGCGGGAUGCCAUCGCACAAAUAUUCAGGAAGCAUGCAGCCAUCUUUCUCCGGACAGGCUACCGCUCCUUUCCGACAUAACGGAACUGUUAAACAGAACAAUAAUUAUUUGUAUUUAUUCCGUCAACUGUAUGACUUUUUUUAAAAACUGUUUUGCAGAAAGUCAAAAACGACUAGAAACUGUAUAACAACCAGGCUGAUAGUGUAAGUGUUACUCGUUUCCAUUUCUC